rfam:Gossypium raimondii Chr04_contig_877, whole genome shotgun sequence.
AUUUCUUUUAACAUAUUAGAAAAUCGAAUUGGCAGUGAAGAAAGAAGCAAGAAGUUAGAAGCCAUCAUUGCCUAUAACCAAAACCCAUAAACCCAUACCAUGCUUCUUUCUUCACUGCCAAUUUGACUUCCUAAUAUGUUAAAAGAAAU